UACGAAGGGGGCUAGCGUUGCUCGGAAUCACUGGGCGUAAAGGGUGCGUAGGCGGGUCUUUAAGUCAGGGGUGAGAUCCUGGAGCUCAACUCCAGAACUGCCUUUGAUACUGAAGAUCUUGAGUUCGGGAGAGGUGAGUGGAACUGCGAGUGUAGAGGUGAAAUUCGUAGAUAUUCGCAAGAACACCAGUGGCGAAGGCGGCUCUCUGGGACGGUACUGACGCUGAGACGCGAAAGCGUGGGGAGCGAACAGG
rnacentral:rRNA from 1 species